rnacentral:rRNA from 1 species
GACAGAGGGUGCAAACGUUGUUCGGAAUUACUGGGCGUAAAGCGCGCGUAGGCGGCUUUGUAAGUUAGAGGUGAAAGCCCGGGGCUCAACCCCGGAACUGCCUUUAAGACUGCAUCGCUUGAAUCCGGGAGAGGUGAGUGGAAUUCCGAGUGUAGAGGUGAAAUUCGUAGAUAUUCGGAAGAACACCAGUGGCGAAGGCGGCUCACUGGACCGGUAUUGACGCUGAGGUGCGAAAGCGUGGGGAGCAAACAGG